CCUCGUGGCAAGUGAACAUUUUGGUAAGAUCGGACGAAGCGUUCAAUAUUUGUUUGACUAUCUUAUAAUGUCCUUAGCAAAAGAAGCUUUCGCUUCAAAGCACAAUCCAUCUAUUCUAACUAUAGUUAUGGGUCAAUAGAAUUGGAUAACGUUAUAGUGAAAGCCUCAAGCUUUUUAUAUAUAUUUUUUUAAAUUGAAAUAUGCCUUUCUUCUAUUUCCGCUGCAGGCUGUGGACAAAUAUAGCUGUCGCAUUCCUUUGACCUUUGCACCUUCGUUCGACGAUCUUGAAGAACGAAUACCUUUUGCCAUUUUGUGCUUGCCUUUCUUCACUAUUUUGUUAAAAAUGUCACUCAGAGGAGACGUUGUGAGGUAUCUUGCCACUCCAAGGAUCUCGAUAGCUACCGAUUAAUCAAAAACGACCUCAUUAAUUCGAGGCUCCUUUACCAUGUGAGAUCAGCCACAGCUUCCAUCUUUCGGGUUUUCAAGUUCAGCUCAACGUAAGUGUCCCCUUUUACAUCUGCCCCGGGCUACAAUUGAAGUAACUUCCUUCUUAAUGUUGCGAUAGUAAGUUGCUACACUACACUAAGCACUAGCUAUACAACGCUCUGUUUAGGCUAUUAAGGCAAAAGGUACACGGACAGAUUGUCUAUCGGAAAAUAUGUUUGUAGGACAACGAUAAUAUGUUAAUCUGCCAGCAUCUACUGUAUUCUGGUUACUAGUUGUUGCACUUCCGUCACGCGUCGGACAGAAUAUGUAUAGUAAUAUAUGGAGUCCAGUUUUGCCAGUAUGUCUAUUCCGUCCGUCAACAGACUACAGAGGAAUGCAUAAACAAAACGCAUAGAUUAAAGGAGCAGGACUCUAUAGUUAACGUCGCAUUUCGCUUUCAGUCAUGUGUAGGUUCGUGGUAGUAACUCGCCAUUACUUUCGAUCGUCGCUGCCACUGUUGUCAUGUCGUAAAGGUUAUCAGGCCCUUUCGGCAGACUUGCUAUAACAUUGAGCCAGCGCCUGCAGGGCUACGUUCCUGCCACAGCAGGCAGGUACAGCGGCGAAGGACCAGCAAUCUUCGAACAAAGCUGAGUUCAAGCUGAGCUGGAUUGACUGCGAGCCUGCAAUAGAGGAGGGCUAGCACGCGAAAAAUUAGCCAACUGUUGCAAUAAAAUACCGCCAGUUACAAUAACCGGUGCAAAGAAAAGCAUGACUGCCCAGUCUAAUAGCCCAAACCCCAACUAACUAUAGAUAGAUCCCAAACGUUGCAUCCAGCACUUUGAUAUCACGCUUCAUAAACCUUCAAGUCAGUACGCCGAAGUAGAUCGAGCUAGUGACAGUGCUAACGAUGAUCAUCCCGUUGUCUUUUUCGUCAAGAGGGAAGACACAAUUCGUUGUGAGCAUAACCUAGCAGAACAGCGGCUAACUUGACCCAAGCAGGCAACGUUUUUGCUGUUGCUGUUCUCGGGAAUAAACGACAAACGCUGGACGCCGAACAAUUGACUCCGCAGUAACGCGUCGUGUUUCUAAGCGCCGGGCGUUGCUAUCCAUAGCGCUGAGAGAGGCUGGAACAUACAGGUCUGCGGAGCGGUUACGGCUAUUGCGGUCAUGAUUCGAUUCAAACAAGAACAAAAGAUCCACAAAUAUUAUCCUAGAUCAUCAUCAGCGUCAUCGUCGUCGGCAUGAGUGUUUCCUCCAACCAGCAUUGACGCCAGCAUCGAUCCUAAAUAGUGAACCCUAGAAUGGAGAGGAUUGCUAGACUACUUUUUGCUGGUGUGAAUGAACACCGCACCUUCACGAUCAUCGCAGGGGCUAUUGAGCAAGGCGAAGAAAAAAAGAAGGAAAACGGUAAGCCUUAACGUGUGAACACAUGCGUUCCCUUGUGCACUAGAAUCCGUCUUUCCGUUUGUUGGCAGACCCGCCUGAUCCUAAUUGAUUUGCUGGUUUGCACCUGGCUCACUCAAUGUUUGCAACUAAACGAACUGUUACUAUUUGUCGCAGCCAGUGCGCGGUGGACAUAUAAGGCCACAUCAAAUAUCAGCUGUCAGUUUGAACAACAAUAAGCUCGGAUAGUUGAUGGAGCGACUGCCUUUGUCCUACGUUACCAUUUACUUAGGCUGGUCCCGAUAGAAAUUUGCUUAAGGGUAGAAAUAGAUCGCCUGGUGAAUGCAGCGAAUUAGAAGCGUACUGUUUUCAUUGCUGCCGCUAAUGCUAGCGUAGAUACGCUUUGCCCUGUUAGGAUCUAGUAGUGGGCCCUCUGCAGGAGUGGACUUCUUAACCACCGACUGAGCUCUGUCCAGCCCAGGCAGCGGAGAGGAGAGCUGGAUCGUCUUUAAGGUCGUCACCUAUACAUGACAACUUGCGAGUGUCAGAACAACUUCUCAAAAAACGAACGAAUCACUACGGUGGAGUGCGCGAUGGACAAUAAGCUCGUGGCUGACAACGGCCGAAGUGAAGCACAGGAAGGAGAUUAUUAUGCAGCUAGUACCAACUACAGUUACUGCGGUUAUUUCAACAAUUUUCAUGGUGUCAUUGUUGAGUUUCGCAGUAAAAACUUUCGUAGUCUAAGGGAGGUCUGUAAGUGGAGCACUGAUAACACAAACGAAUGUGUAGUGGUAGACUCUCAAAACAAGGAAAAAAACAUAGGCCUGUUAGAUACUCCUUGGUGGCGCAAGAGUGAAUUGAAUCUAAAGGUGGCCAGCACGCCAUAAUGUCCGCAGGUCGUGCUGUCAUUUCAACAUCUCGCGUUGUCGCUGUUCCAUGGAGUAGGCCACAGAACUCGUACAGAAGCGGCCCUAACGAAUGCCGUAUUGGACAACCGCAUGGUCAACCUUCGAUCUUUCUUCACUCUUUAUCGAGCCCAACAAUAACCAAUAGCAGCUCGGUCUCUACCUCGAGUUUUGACACCGCCGAAGCUGAGCCUGCAGAAGCACUGUAUGUUUUACAGAAGGACUUCAUUCUGUUUAAGCAUUUUCCAUUUUAUGAAGUAUUCGAAUUUUGCAUCAAAACUUCACAACAAACCAGCGCCAACAGUCACCCUGGCGUGCCAGCUGCGCCCGUGUCUGUCCUACAGUGACCUAUUUUAUAAUCAACUUUGUAUGGAUGUCCACAGGAAUCGCAGGAAUCGCGCUGGGUAACUUUGUCAAUAAACGAUACUUUUCGAUCCUCCUUGUCAGCGUUUUCGGUCUGAUGGUUGCAGUGAUCUACCGAUUUCUCUAUGACUUAGAGCAUAUGGACACUAUGCCAAAUCAACCAACAGUCGUGUCCUACCCGCCUACUCCAACGUCCCGCCGCAGCCUUCCCCCAUGCUAUUCAUCUGUGGUACGUUCCGAGACACCUCCACCAAGUUAUAAUGAGUACCUUGCAAUGAUAUGCGCGCAACAGCUGUCCGGCCUACCGGGAGGACCCCACAUUAUUCCCGUGCCAACAAUAAGCUCUCUGAUAGAAAACAGCAGAAAGAAAUCGCCUGACUCUUGCAAUAGAAUAUGUGUUUAAAGAGAAGCUUCGAUCAGAUAAAAAAUACGGAUAGCGUUACUCGUCUGGACUUAGUCUCCUAAGUAUCACACCGGUGUUGAAUACACAAAUUAUUAAAGCGACAGUUUUGUUUAACCUAUUGUAGUUCAACUGCACGACAGUGAAUUAGAGAAACGCUCUUAGAAACCAGUUAGCCUCUGCCAACAUAAGUAGAAUAAGUGAAUGUGUAGAUGCACAGAAUGUUCAUAUAUAUAUAUAUAUAUAUAUAUAUAUAUAUAUAUAUACCUAUAUAUACAUAAAUAUAUACAAAGGCAAUUAGUACAGAAGGUAUAUAUGUUUUUUUGAAGUAUUUUUUAAUGCAUAGUACUAUAUCGGGAAGUAUUUGGACCAGUAUCUGCAAGGGUGCCUGCGUCUGUCAAAAAUGUUGGGAAGAAGCCGAAAAAUUCGAGUCGAGAUUGGGCGGCCCGGGGGAACGCUCCUCAAAUCAAAUCGUCCAAAAUUAAUUUCGAGUAAAUUUAUCUAUUUUGCGAUAUUUAUUUGUGCGUACGUGUUGCUUCGAUUUGUUCGACGAUUGUAUAAUGCUUCGUUUCGUAAGCCUGAGUUGACCGCCGCUAUUAAUCCACUGUUGGAGAGAUAGUUAGAUUCGUUAGGAAACAACUGUAUUGAAUAUUGUUUGCAGUAAAAUGUAAUUGCCUAUUAUUAUUUUUAUUUAGGUUUUCGUUCACUUAUCAUUACGUUAUAGAACUAAUUUCAUUUCGAGUUGUCCCGCUGAUUAACAAUUAAAGCUGCACUUUUGCAGCGAUAACUUACACUUGUUUGCACUACAAAUUGUAGUAAGUGUGACGAAAAUUCCUUCGUCUCUGCUCGAAAUCGUUUCUCUCUCUCUCUCUCUCUCUCGAAAAUCGUUUCUCUACUUUUGAUACGAUAAUAUUUGUAGAUGAACUAUAUAAAUAAAUAUAGGGUAUGUCACAGCCAAUAUGUAUUAUCAAUGUUGUAGAAUGUAAAGUAAGAGCCUAUAAUAUGACAUCCAUUGCGAGUGGAUUCGAAAUUUUGGCUUCUUCUGAAAGGCUGGAAAAGAUCUGAACUGAUGGUGCAGUAAUAACAGAAGGCUAACCGGUUUAUAUUGGGCACAGGCUGUUAUCAACUGAGUCGCAAUAGUCAGACCAUUAAACACAGUACAUAUUUGUUUCGAUACAAAACUAGCAUCAUAAGAUGUGACAGAACGACAUCUUGAGUCAUUGUAUAUGAUUUUUUAUUUAUACAGUACUUCUAUUUUCGUAUCCUGACCACACUUCAUCAUCGCUAACGUAUUUGUAAUUUACUUCAUUUGAUAAUUUUUUUUAUGCGCAUUUAGAAUAAACAAAGCGAAUGUUCAAUCAUCAAAUAGUUAUAGACUGGAUAGAAGGAUUAUGAUUUAUCUAGUUGUUUAACAUACCUCCACAUAAAAUUCUUGUGUGUCACAUUGCAGAUUAACUUUGAAUAUGUUUCAGUUGCGAAAGGUUACUUAAUGUUUACUUAUAACGACACAUCGUGAUGGCACAUCAACGGAAAAAGCCUCAUGAUAUUUGGCAACUUCGUUCAGUUGAAUGAGAAAACGCUGAUGUGUAACCACCGCCAGCGAAACUGCUAAGCUGCUUCUGUAAUUCCGACUUUAAACACGUAUCACAAUCGUAUUGAAAACCAUUGUUGGCUUUUUUCUUCUGCACAUACGAUUGAAUACGCAGUAUCGCUGUUGGUGGGACAUAUAGAUAAGCAGCUGGUUUUUCACAAAAUAGAUUAAUAUAGAACACUUAAUGAACUGAGAUAACGCCGACUACCUUUGUAAUGAUAAUAAUAAUAAUGCACAUUAUUUCUCAGUAAAGGAGCAUUGUGAAUACGUAUACACAACGAAUGUGACACUGAAACCUAAAGCUACCGCGGAUAAACGAAUGCGUGAACGGAUGAGAUCUCUAGUCAUACAACAAUCCUUACGUUUGGUAUGAUCACAGGCUAUAAUUGGCAAUAUAUGAUACGAUGUUGUACAAAUCGGGUCGUAGAUAAGGUAUAUAACGCUAUUUUAAAUAAAUAUGACAUACAUAAUUUCUA